GCGUGAGUAGCCAAGCCGGGUCAAAGGCGCUGGAUUUAGGGUCCAGUCCCGUAGGGGUUCGCAGGUUCGAAUCCUGCCUCACGCA
rfam:Methanomicrobiales archaeon 53_19 MPJ_scaffold_88, whole genome shotgun sequence.